GUGGGGAAUCUUCCACAAUGGACGAAAGUCUGAUGGAGCAACGCCGCGUGAGUGAAGAAGGGUUUCGGCUCGUAAAGCUCUGUUGUCGGGGACGAAUGUGCAGUAUUUGAAUAAAGUACUGCAAUGACGGUACCUGACGAGGAAGCCACGGCUAACUACGUGCCAGCAGCCGCGGUAAUACGUAGGUGGCAAGUGUUGUCCGGAAUUAUUGGGCGUAAAGGGAGCGCAGGCGGGAAGGUAAGUCGGUCUUAAAAGUGCGGGGCUCAACCCCGUGAUGGGAUCGAAACUAUCUUUCUUGAGUGCAGGAGAGGAAAGUGGAAUUCCUAGUGUAGCGGUGAAAUGCGUAGAUAUUAGGAGGAACACCAGUGGCGAAGGCGAUCUGCUGGACAGCAACUGACGCUGAGGCGCGAAAGCGUGGGGAGCAAACAGGAUUAGAAACCCGGGUAGUCC
rnacentral:rRNA from 1 species